rnacentral:RNase_P_RNA from 1 species
AUGGCAGACCGCCUUAUCGUUCCGAAGUAACUUCGGAAAGGAAAGUCCGGGCAACAUAGAGCAACGCACUUCCUAACAGGAAGGUGCUGUUGAAAAACAGCAACAGAAAGUGCCGCAGAAAACAAACUACCCUGAUUAACCUUGGUUUUUCAGGGAAAAGGUGAAAAGGUGGAGUAAGAGCCCACCGCAUUGGUGGUGACACCAAUGGCAUGGUAAACCUUGCGUGUUGAAAGAUCAAAUAGAUUCUGCCCUUUACCAACAGGUAGAGGCCAAUUAGCUCGGUUGGAGCGCCUUUGUGCAAAGCAGAAUGGGUAGAUCGAUAGACUUUGAUGGUAACGUCAAAGCCAGAUAAAUGAUAAGGGUUUCGAACAUAGUUCGGAAAACAGAACCCGGCUUACAGGUCUGCUUUUUUC